UUUCAAAAUAAUUGUAUGUAAAAAAAAAGCAGUUGUUUUAUUACUUUCGUCGCCCCAACGCAAUACAUAAGAUGAAAAAACCUUAUUAAACUUACAAAUCAAAGGUUGUAACUCUUAUAUAUUAAGUUUUAUAGGGUCUUGUCGUCUUUUAAGAUUAUUUAAGCCUUUUCACUUAAAUGUUAAUUUCAAUUUUUAAACCUGAAACAGGUUGCUUUUUGUCCGACCAUUCAUUCCAGUCUUCAAUUAAAAAACUAAUUAUUAUGCUACCUUCGCACGGUUAUUUAUACCGCGGCCUUUAAAAAAGAUCAAUGGGCAGGCCAGACUGUUAAUUAAAUCUAACAGACAUGUUUUUGAUAAACAGGCGA
rnacentral:rRNA from 1 species